UACGUAGGGGUGCGAGCGUUUAAUCGGAAUUACUGGGCGUAAAGUGUGCGCAGGCGGCCGCGCAAGUCGAGUGUGAAAGCCCCGAGCUUAACUUGGGAAUUGCGCUCGAAACUACGUGGCUGGAGUGUGGCAGAGGAAGGUGGAAUUCCACGUGUAGCGGUGAAAAUGCGUUAGAGAUGUGGAGGAACACCGAUGGCGAAGGCGGCCAAACUGGACGAAUACUGACGCUGAGACUCGAAAAGCGUGGGGAGCAAACAGG
rnacentral:rRNA from 1 species